GACGAACGCUGGCGGCGUGCCUAAUACAUGCAAGUAGAACGCUGAAGAGAGGAGCUUGCUCUUCUUGGAUGAGUUGCGAACGGGUGAGUAACGCGUAGGUAACCUGCCUUGUAGCGGGGGAUAACUAUUGGAAACGAUAGCUAAUACCGCAUAACAAUGGAUGACACAUGUCAUUUAUUUGAAAGGGGCAAUUGCUCCACUACAAGAUGGACCUGCGUUGUAUUAGCUAGUAGGUGAGGUAACGGCUCACCUAGGCGACGAUACAUAGCCGACCUGAGAGGGUGAUCGGCCACACUGGGACUGAGACACGGCCCAGACUCCUACGGGAGGCAGCAGUAGGGAAUCUUCGGCAAUGGGGGCAACCCUGACCGAGCAACGCCGCGUGAGUGAAGAAGGUUUUCGGAUCGUAAAGCUCUGUUGUAAGUCAAGAACGAGUGUGAGAGUGGAACGUUCACACUGUGACGGUAGCUUACCAGAAAGGGACGGCUAACUACGUG
rnacentral:rRNA from 1 species